CCAGUUUAUAAUACAGAAGUUGCUAGGAUACAUUUCUCAUAGUGAUGUAUCAUGACAGCUUGUGUGUCAUACAUGACUAAAGCAAAACCAUUAUUUGAAAACACAUCAUGAAUUUGAGUAACAUGCAUACUCUUAGGAAUUUGAAAUGGGUGUUUAGUGUGUGUUAAGUUUUUAAUGAUUUGGGAGUACAGUUCAUUUGUGGAGAGAUGGGAAUAUUGUAUGGUAAUGUGUUAAGCAUUUCAUUGCUACGUGAAUGAUACAUUUUCAAAAUAAUUGUGAAAAAGUAAUGCUAUUAAACAGCGGAUUUGCUUUAUAUGAAUCUUGACAAAGUAGAAUUUUGGAUUUUGAGCGCUUUACUGUCAACAUGUUUGCAUUUUAGGAAAGACUAAAAGGGAAAAGGAUUUAAAAGUGGCUGCUAUCGUAAUGAUGUGUUAAUGCUACAUUAACAUUAUUUUGCAGACAUCAUCAUUUGAUUGCACACCAUCUCCCAGCAAGAAUCCUGUAGAAAGUCCUCUAAAUAUUAUGUUGAACAUUGUUAAACAAGAAACACAAGAGUCCUGUGACUCGCCUAAAGUCAAAGAAGAACCUGAUGACACCCCUCCUGCCUGUGCAGAAGAGAGCACACCUGCAUCUACAGAUAUUAAAACAGAACCUGAUGAGUCUGUUUAAAUAAACUGAGGGGGAAACGAAUGUAAGAAUGCUCAUUUGAAAAAUGGUUAAGCGUUUUUUUUUGUUGUUGUUUAUGACUGGACUUAGAUGGUAAACCAGAUAUCCUGAGAUGUUAAUAUUUCUUAAAUGUAAUAAAUAAAAUUAAGCAUA